CAGAAGAAUGUAGAACUUUCAUAACAGAAAGAAAAGAUUUUAGGCAUCUAUUUUACCAUCUCAGAGGAAGAUAGCUGCAGUUGUGUAAAACAGAUUUAUUUAUUCAAAAAUCAACUAUUUAUGGAAUACCUACUUUGUCUUGAGCCCUGAUGUGAGAGCUGGAGAUCCCAAGAUGAAUAAGACACCGUCGCUACUCUCAAGGAACUCACAGCCCAGUGAAAGACACAGAGAAGAAACUAGACAGUUGUAGUUGUAUCAGACACCUGUAGUUGCCAUCUACCUUUCCAGAAAUUGUCCUUUCCCACCUACACAGUCACAAAAGGCAAUAUGAUUCUACCCUCACUUUCCCAAGAUGAUUGGUCCCUCAGGAAGCAGUUGACUCAUGAGUAUUCUACAUUGUUAUUGAAGUGAUGAUUCUUCUGACCAGUGAAGCAGGGUCAUAUUUCCUGCAUUUAGAAUUUUAUUUGGUUCCCAGCAAGACAAUAGCAGUUAGAGUGAAUAACUCAGUAAUGGGAGCACUGAUUGAAAAAGAAAGAUGAGAAGAACCUCUGGGACUUGAACAAGAUUUAAUCUCUAUUGUUCUCAAAGAAAACUGGUCUGCAUAAAAGAGCUCAAACUGAAUUGUUCUAAACUGGAGGGGAAGGGGACUUCUAAACAGCCUAUUAUUUGAGAUUAUCCAGAUUAUAUAACUUAAUUCCAGAUACUUAGGAAUCAUUUUAUUUUCAAUAAAUUCUAUCUUUUCAUCUUGUGAAGGAAGACUUUGAAAGAGCAGAAUCGUGAGGAAUGAUGCCAGUGCCAUUUGCUGAAAAUGAAAGCAGGAACUUGGACCAGAAGUUUUAGAAUCCUGAAUUUAUCAAAGAAAUGUGAAGGCUGAGGCUUACAGAGAUCGAAGAGUAGAGGAUGCAUUGAGGCCACAGUUGAAGGAAAGAAGCCUGGAUUUCCACUGAAUUUGGGCUAAAUUUCCACUAUUCUUCUUCCUCUUCCUUAAGAUUCUGCUCAUUGGGUUACCCACCAACCCA
rnacentral:lncRNA from 1 species